AAUAGCAGAACAGGUGUACCUGGCAUGGAUUGUGACAUCAUCUCGUUCCUUGGCCUCUUCAAUGAGUCAUCCUCCGCCUGACUCUCCGCCAAUGCCGCCUGACAGGGCAUGUUCACUAACAAGCGGUAAAUUGCUGCGUGCCUUUUAGGCUGCCCAUUGUGACUUGCUUGUGGGCGUGCUGGCAGCAUAUGGCAGCAUAUAGCAGCAAGUUUGAUUGUGCGUGAAGAAUUCAGCAUAGCAAGAUUGUAUGAAGGUCUGGUUAUUAAAUGGGUAAAAAGUUAAAUUGUAAUAAGCUCUAAAACACUCUGGUGACAAACACACUUUGCUUCCCUGUUUCUAAUUGUCCACAUGGCUGGAGAACCUAUUCAAGUAAGUAAAAACUAUGAAUUAUUUGAUAACUAGCUACAGUGCAGGCUAACUCAUCUGAGCUGCUAAAUGAGCUAACUAGUUGACUAGCUAGCUAUCUAGCCAACUUUACAUACUGUAUAGAUAGCUAGCUAAGUGAUUAAAUAUCACCAGCUGCCUAACUUCAUAUUAGCUAGCUAAUCACUGUAAAAAACAACUCCAAAUGCAUUUGUAGGUAGCUAUGGUAGCUAACAACCAUGAACGAGAGUGAAAGGAUAGCAGCCCCAAUUGUCAAAGUGAGAGACUAGGCUAUUCUCGAUAGGGCAGGGACUUGUGUAUUACCAGUCCCUAGAAGUGAAGAUGGAGACUAUAGUAACAUAAUAUUCAAUGCGAUGUAAUUUGAGUAUAAUGAAGUCUGUUUCGUGUGAGGUUUUCUGUCCUCAGAUAAAACUAGCUAUGAAAGCCUGUCUACAGAUGAAGAGGUUCCAAUGAAGAGCAGUGGUUCUCAGUCCUGGUCGUCAAAGAGGGGCACAUUGUUGUUUUUGCCUCAGCACUGCACAGCUGAUUCAAAUGACUCAUCAUCAAGCUUCAAGUGAUACCUUGUCACUGGAGAUUCUUUGAAAACGAUUGCCUAAAGUUACCGUGUAACACUGCAAGGUCCGGUGACCAGGGCCAUCUGGGACUGCCUCCUGGAGGAAUUCAGAAGUGUGAAGGCUACCUGUGUCCUGCGUAACUUCAUGAGGAUGGACAUAAGGACCAGAAGGGGAUCUGCAGCUCGCUGCCGUGUGCCAGAGGAGAAGUGUGCUGCUCUGCAGGAUGUUUCAAGGAUGGGGUCCAACAACGCAGCAGGAGAGGCAAUCUGUGUGCAGUGGAUCUUCACCUCCUACUUCUACAAAGAGGGUGCUGUUCCCUGGUGAGGGGGCUGUUUAGGUAUGUUUUGAUGUGAGAGGAUGCCAACCCCAGUCCCGUCAUUACCACCUCACCCGCUCUUAACAUAACCUUCGGGCUGACUGGGAACCCAAGGCUGGUUAGGAAACACAACUGGAGACACUAUUAUGUAACUGUGAUGAACUGAGAAAAUAUUAGGAUAGCACUGUGAUUCAUUAAUCAAAUGCUGCCCUCCCUGCUCCUCUUACCACUUCCCCUUUGUCGUUUACAACUCUCUCCCCACCUCUUUCUUCCUCUAUUUUUAUAAUGCAUAACAGACGUGCAUUGAAGUAAAGAUUGAACUUGUAUUUAUAAUAUGUUACAAUUAUAAUAUGUAUAAUGCAUUAUUAUGUAUUUAUAACACCUGGAUAAUGAUCAUCUUUCAAUUAAGCGUUUCACAUUCUCUACUGGUUGAAAUUAAGUCUCUCAUUUGAUGAAAUACUACACCUAUCCUGUGUUUAUCAAAUCAAUACAGAUUAAGGCAAUUAGACAAAGAGAUGAACUAGUUUUAGAGUAUUUACAUGAUGCAUAGGAAGUGUAGUGUACUGUUUUUAAAAUUCUAUUUCUGUAUACAGUUGAAGUCAGAAGUUUACAUACGCUUAUGUUGGAGUUAUUGAAUGUACACUACUCUGUUAUAAACACACGUAUUACUAUUUAGUUACAUAUAAGUGAAUGGACACUACUCUGUUAUAAACACACUAUUUAGUUACAUAUUAAUGAAUGUACACUACUGUUAUAAACGCACGUAUUACUAUUUAGUUACAUAUUAAUGAAUGUACACUACUGUUAUAAACACACUGUUUAGUUACAUAUUAAUGAAUGGACACUACUGUUAUAAACACACUGUUUAGUUACAUAUUAAUGAAUGUACGCUACUCUUAUAAACACACUUAUUACUGUUUAGUUACAUAUUAAUGAAUGCACACUACUCUGUUAUAAACACAAUAUUUAGUUACAUAUUAAUGAAUGUACACUACUGUUAUAAACACACUAUUUAGUUAUAUAUUAAUUAAUGUACACUACUCUGUUAUAAACACACUAUUUAGUU